rnacentral:rRNA from 1 species
CACGUAGGGGCCAAGCGUUGUCCGGAUUCAUUGGGCGUAAAGAGCUCGUAGGUGGUUCAGUUAGUCGGGUGUGAAAUCUCCGGGCUCAGCCCGGAGGGGCCACCCGAUACUGCUGUGACUCGAGUCCGGUAGGGGAGUGGGGAAUUCCUGGUGUAGCGGUGAAAUGCGCAGAUAUCAGGAGGAACACCGGUGGCGAAGGCGCCACUCUGGGCCGGUACUGACGCUGAGGAGCGAAAGCGUGGGGAGCGAACAGG